rnacentral:misc_RNA from 1 species
AAGGUGGUUAUUUGCCCAGGCG